AAAUGAUUUUUGCCAGGUCAUCUUAAUGGAAAGCUGAAAGUCCUAGGAAUCCAGAAAACCUUUUACCAGUGGCUCUGCAAGAGUGAAUGUGUGUCUUCUUGAUGGAAACCCACUGGGUGGGGUGGAAUGACCCCUUUUCAGAACCCACUGGGUUCAGAAGGAUGGUGGCUUACUCCUCUCUAGGGGCAAUACCUGCAGCAGUGCGCCUAGCGCAGGGUCAGAUCCUGGCAGGAAAAUCCACUCUGUCGAUACCUGCCUAAAAAUUUGGUGUCCAAGGAGGA